rnacentral:rRNA from 1 species
AGUGAACGCUGGCGGUAGGCCUAACACAUGCAAGUCGAACGGCAGCACAGUAAGAGCCUGCUCUUACGGGUGGCGAGUGGCGGACGGGUGAGGAAUACAUCGGAAUCUACUUUUUCGUGGGGGAUAACGUAGGGAAACUUACGCUAAUACCGCAUACGACCUACGGGUGAAAGCAGGGGAUCUUCGGACCUUGCGCGAUUGAAUGAGCCGAUGUCGGAUUAGCUAGUUGGCGGGGUAAAGGCCCACCAAGGCGACGAUCCGUAGCUGGUCUGAGAGGAUGAUCAGCCACACUGGAACUGAGACACGGUCCAGACUCCUACGGGAGGGAGCAGAGGGGAAUGUUGGACAAUGGGCGCAAGCAUGAUCCAGCCAUCCCGCGUGGGUGAAGAAGGCCUUGGGGUUGUAAAGCCCUUUUGUUGGGAAAGAAAAGCAGCAGGUUAAUACCCCGCUGUUCUGACGGUACCCAAAAAAUAAGCACCGGCUAACUUCGUG